GAUGAACGCUGGCGGCGUGCCUAAUACAUGCAAGUCGAGCGAACAGAUGAGGAGCUUGCUCCUCUGACGUUAGCGGCGGACGGGUGAGUAACACGUGGAUAACCUACCUAUAAGACUGGGAUAACUUCGGGAAACCGGAGCUAAUACCGGAUAAUAUAUUGAACCGCAUGGUUCAAUAGUGAAAGACGGUUUUGCUGUCACUUAUAGAUGGAUACGCGCCGCAUUAGCUAGUUGGUAAGGUAACGGCUUACCAAGGGAACGAUGCGUAGCCGACCUGAGAGGGUGAUCGGCCACACUGGAACUUAGACACGGUCCAGACUCCUACGGGAGGCAGCAGUAGGGAAUCUUCCGCAAUGGGCGAAAGCCUGACGGAGCAACGCCGCGUGAGUGAUGAAGGUCUUCGGAUCGUAAUACUCUGUUAUUAGGGAAGAACAAAUGUGUAAGUAACUAUGCACGUCUUGACGGUACCUAAUCAGAAAGCCACGGCUAACUACGUG
rnacentral:rRNA from 1 species